rnacentral:lncRNA from 1 species
GUGGAGGUGGAGGAGGUGGAGGUAAUGCAGAUAUCCCUGUGGAGGAAAAGGGGGACAAUCAGUAUUCACCUCCACAGCUGCCCUGCACACACGCUGCUGCUCAGUCCUGAGCACAACGGACUGGUGAGAGUCCACAUGUUUUUCUCAGAGGGACCAACAUACCUAGUACUGUAUGAGUUCUUAAAAUACUAAAGAAAGCUAGAAGCAUCAAAGGGGAAUUAAAAGUUGCCAUGUUUCUCAAACAAUAGUCAUGUUAAAGGCUGUUGGAACAAAUAAUUACAGAUUACAUGAAACCACAUAUGGUGACAUUCUCUGCAUAGAUGAGGCUCUGACCCCAUUUGCAAAGUAAUAGUCCCCAAAGAAGAGUUCCAUCUAUCAGUUACUUUAGCCAGGUCCCAGGAAGCUCUGUCUGCUUCUGAGCUAGCAAUUAAAGAUAGACAUCUGCAUGAUGGAGUUGGGCUUCCUGAAUGUCAGUUAUUCAUAAGGGGUGAACAGUUCUUUCGCUGCUCCAACAUACACAAUGUUUGAAGGAUGUGAUCUUAUGUAAAAUGACAGACCACUCAGGAUUCUCAGCAAGGAAUCAGUGCCUCCUGGGUUAUGCAUUUCCCAGAGGAGUCUGUCUCGAAUAAUAAUUUCCUAUUAGGUUGCAUUAAAGAAAUAUAAAAUGCUAAUAACUGUUAGCAAUGCAAAGCAGGGGGCAGAGGGGUCUCUCUGCCAUGGUAUUCUUACAGAGAAAUCCUUCUCAAGUACUGUUCUCUCCAUUGUGGCCCAACCAAGGAACAGGACAUAACUGCACUAAAUGUCUUUGACGAAGCAUCAGGAGAAACUAGAAUGUCGUGCUGUACCGCAGUGGGCAAGGAGAGGGAAACUGGGCAGGUGUCUAAAACUUCCCUCAGCUUCCAGGCACAUGGACAUUUGCAACUCGAAUUUUAUAUUUUAGAAUCAAUGAAUGGUUCUCUCAGGACAGAAUAAACACCCGAGUUCAGAAAAAGCCUUGCCUUAAAGAAUGUUCCUGUGCCACAGUUAGUUGCCUCGUCUCCUGUGACCUUGCAGCUCUCUGAGACUCUGUCAGAUGCUGUCUCUGUCCCUCCCAGGGCUACUCCAGGGAGACAUUCUGCCAGGUGGUUUCCCCUACACUGCUACUGAGUUGUGAUAAGUAACAGGUAAAGCUACCCUACUUAAGUUUGUAUGGACGACUGGCUCAGAAUCACCAACACAAUACUCAGGUAAGUACAUCCUUUUCACCAAGUGUGACAGGUAUGGGUUAAAGUCUUACAAUAGAAAAUCACUUACCUUUCUUUACAUCUUUUACUCAAACCUAAGGCAGCUGAAAUUAAAGAAUCACACAAAUACACACGCUCAUGCUCUGCAAUCUUGGAAUGCUCAAAGAUAGCAAUACAAAUAAAGACUAAAUACAGACAAAUGACCAACAUGUUCAUUGGUUCUACACAAUAACAACUGAUGAAUGAAAUUGUUAUGUUUUAUGCUAAGGUGGAUUGUGGGAAAAUGUUCCUGGCUUUAUGUCACCAGGUUACAGAGAUAAAAAGGACUUUAAACCUGAAGUAACUGUUGAAGUGGGAAAACGGAGAAUAAGCAUGUGUGAUGAGCAUUCCUCUGAAGAGGACUUCUGGAGAGCAACCAGUGAAAUACCAGGAGGAGGGGAGACCUCUGCUGAAGGUUUUUGGAACUGAGUCUCUUGACUGCAACACCAAGUGGGCCCGAAGGAGUGAGCUCUGCCCACUUGGGGAUCCAUGGUGGGACUGAGCUCUUGUCAGUCUUCGAUGCUGGUGAAUCUUUAAAAGACCAUA